UUGGAAGAGUCCUAUUUCAAUGAUUGUCAGUUGCUGGAGAUAUUGCAUUGAUAAUUCAUUAUUCCAUGUUACAUGGAGCUUAUGUAAAGCUUAAUUGAUCCUAGAGUUUAUAUAUAGAUGAUUUGCUUCAAGGGUGAUGUGUGGAUUUAAAGGAGCACGUAUGUUUAUAGUGAGGAACGGAACUAUUAUCGAGUGCCAUUGCUAUAACCUCCGAGUGUUAAUUUUCACUUACAGUAGGUAGAUCUGAUAGAUAGUUUACUAAAUUGUACAAGAGUGAGAUUGCAACAAGUGUUCGAGGGAUUGGGCCUAUUUUUUUUUUUUUGGUAUUCUGAAGUUUAUAGUGGAUUUAUCUCU
rnacentral:lncRNA from 1 species